rfam:Culex pipiens quinquefasciatus supercont3.519 genomic scaffold, whole genome shotgun sequence.
AAGACUGUGCUUCACAGGAUCAUUUCUGUAGGCAAGUUUUCACCACAAGUUUUUUCCGAAAGGAAAAGAUUUCCCACCCACGAUGAUGAGACAUAGUGGCCUGCCUGGAGCGUGAAACUUAGCUCGGUUGUGCCUUACCGUUUACGGUGGGGCCACGGGCUGCUGAUGAUCGUGCUUCCUUGCGAUGGCUGGCCGCGGUCUGAGUGGU